rnacentral:rRNA from 1 species
GACGAACGCUGGCGGCGUGCUUAACACAUGCAAGUCGAACGGUAAGGCCCUUCGGGGUACACGAGUGGCGAACGGGUGAGUAACACGUGGGUGAUCUGCCCUGCACUUCGGGAUAAGCCUGGGAAACUGGGUCUAAUACCGGAUAGGACCACUGCCUGCAUGGGUGGUGGUGGAAAGCUUUUGCGGUGUGGGAUGGGCCCGCGGCCUAUCAGCUUGUUGGUGUGGUGAUGGCCUACCAAGGCGACGACGGGUAGCCGGCCCGGGAGGGUGACCGGCCACACUGGGACUGAGAUACGGCCCAGACGCCUACGGGAGGCAGCAGUGGGGAAUAUUGCACGAGGGGCGCAGGCCUGAUGCAGCGACGCCGCGUGAGGGAUGACGGCCUUCGGGUUGUAAACCUCUUUCAGCACCGACGAAGCGCAAGUGACGGUAGGUGCAGAAGAAGGACCGGCCAACUACGUGCCAGCCGCCGCAGUAA